rnacentral:rRNA from 1 species
GAUUAACGCUAGCGGCAGGCAUAAUACAUGCAAGUUGAACGGCAGCACAGGUAGCAAUACUGGGUGGCGAGUGGCGCACGGGUGCGUAACACGUAUGCAACCUACCCUAUACAGGCGAAUAACCUUUAGAAAUGAGGGCUAAUACGCCGUAGUAUUACAGAUGGGCAUCUAUUUGUAAUUAAAGAUUUAUCGGUAUAGGAUGGGCAUGCGUCCCAUUAGUUAGUUGGUAAGGUAACGGCUUACCAAGACGAUGAUGGGUAGGGGAUCUGAGAGGACUUACCCCCACACCGGGACUGAGACACCGACCAGACUCCUACGGGAGGCAGCAGUAAGGAAUAUUGGGCAAUGGCCGCGAGGCUGACCCAGCCAUGCCGCGUGCAGGAAGACGGCCUUAUGGGUUGUAAACUGCUUUUAUACGGGAAUAAUAGAGUGUACGCGUACAUUUAUGCAAGUAUCGUAUGAAUAAGCAUCGGCUAACUCCGUG